rnacentral:tRNA from 1 species
AGGGGAGUAGCUCAACUGGCAGAGCGUCGGUCUCCAAAACCGGUGGUUGCGGGUUCAAAUCCUGUCUCCCCUGCCA